rnacentral:sRNA from 1 species
CAAUGUCACACUGAUAAUGUCCCUCUUGAUUUUAGACCUCCAAUGCUGAUGUUAAUAUCACAUUUACAGUUACCAAAGGCCAAGUUAAAGGUUUCAACAAAGAACUUGAGAUAUCUCUUCCAGAAGGUCUUCCAGUGAAUAGUUUGAAGUUUAACCCUGCUCAAGAAAAGACAGAGAACAAAUCAACUAACUCACCAGGAUCAGCUUUUACAGCACAAGUGUCUUUACGAGUACAGUUAAAAGGAAUUGUUUUACUUCAAGACGGGGGCCAAACCACUGAGACAGAAUUUGUACAAAUGAUUGCCGAUUUACUGAAAAAAAAAUCAUAUCCACUGUCAGUUAUUGAGAAAAAAGAAAUCCCAGACUGUGUUGAAUGGACAAUCGAGGGGCAUGUGAAAAUACAAUAAGUGGCGUAAUAUAAUUUUUAUAACAAUAAGAUGUUGUUUAAAUUACUGUUUGUAUUCCACAAGUUGCAAAUGUUUGGCAUUAACUUUAUUGUUAUUUUGUCUCAUUAAGAUAUAUGCAAUUAAAGCGUUGGAUCUCUAAAUGUAGA